GAUGAACGCUGGCGGCGUGCCUAAUACAUGCAAGUCGAGCGAACAGACGAGGAGCUUGCUUCUCUGAAGUUAGCGGCGGACGGGUGAGUAACACGUGGAUAACCUACCUAUAAGACUGGGAUAACUUCGGGAAACCGGAGCUAAUACCGGAUAAUAUAGUGAACCGCAUGGUUCAAUAGUGAAAGACGGUUUUGCUGUCACUUAUAGAUGGAACCGCGCCGCAUUAGCUAGUUGGUAAGGUAACGGCUUACCAAGGCAACGAUGCGUAGCCGACCUGAGAGGGUGAUCAGUCACACUGGAACUGAGACACGGUCCAGACUCCUACGGGAGGCAGCAGUAGGGAAUCUUCCGCAAUGGGCGAAAGCCUGACGGAGCAACGCCGCGUGAGUGAUGAAGGUCUUCGGAUCGUAAAGCUCUGUUAUUAGGGAAGAACAAAUGUGUAAGUAUCUAUGCACGUCUUGACGGUACCUAAUCAGAAAGCCACGGCUAACUACGUG
rnacentral:rRNA from 1 species